CUCGUUGCCUGCGCGCGGGCGAGGCAUAAUAUAGUUACACUAUUUCAUGAAAUAUAUUAUGAAAUAGUAUAACUAUAUUAUGCCUCGCCCGCGCGCAGGCAACGAG